AGAGUUUGAUUAUGGCUCAGGAUGAACGCUAGCGACAGGCUUAACACAUGCAAGUCGAGGGGCAGCAUAGAAGUAGCAAUACUUGGUGGCGACCGGCGCACGGGUGAGUAACGCGUAUGCAACCUACCUAUCAGAGGGGAAUAACCCGGCGAAAGUCGGACUAAUACCGCAUAAAACAGGGGCACCGCAUGGUGAUAUUUGUUAAAGAAAUUCGCUGAUAGAUGGGCAUGCGUUCCAUUAGGUAGUUGGUGAGGUAACGGCUCACCAAGCCGACGAUGGAUAGGGGAACUGAGAGGUUGGUCCCCCACACUGGUACUGAGACACGGACCAGACUCCUACGGGAGGCAGCAGUGAGGAAUAUUGGUCAAUGGGCGGGAGCCUGAACCAGCCAAGUCGCCGUGAAGGAAGAAGGAUCUAUGGUUCGUAAACUUCUUUUGCAGGGGAAUAAAGUGCAGGACGUGUCCUGUUUUGUAUGUACCCUGAGAAUAAGGAUCGGCUAACUCCGUGCCAGCCGCCGC
rnacentral:rRNA from 1 species